rnacentral:tRNA from 1 species
GACCGCGUAGCUCAGUUGACAGAGCAUUGGGCUAGCAUUCCAAAGGUCGUAGGUUCGAUUCCCACCGUGGCCA